UACGGAGGGAGCAAGCGUUGUUCGGAUUUACUGGGCGUAAAGGGCGCGUAGGCGGUCAGCACAAGUCAGUUGUGAAAUCUCCGGGCUUAACCCGGAAAGGUCAACUGAUACUGUGCGACUAGAGUGCGGAAGGGGCAACUGGAAUUCUUGGUGUAGCGGUGAAAUGCGUAGAUAUCAAGAGGAACACCUGCGGCGAAGGCGGGUUGCUGGGCCGACACUGACGCUGAAGCGCGAAAGCCAGGGGAGCGAACGGG
rnacentral:rRNA from 1 species